AUGGGAACACCCUUCUGUGAUCUCGGGUUGCCUCACCUCCUCCCUGGUGCUGCUGGAUGCUGCCACUCAGAGCUGGGUGCGUGGCUGAUUUUUGAGUUUUCUUGCAGGAAGGGAUGCUCCGUGCCUCCUGGGAACCCCCCCCCGAAAGGCUCCCUGGGACGUGGAAGUGCUUCAGGUCAACCCCAGUGUAUUCACCUGGCAUCCCUUGGGAAGCUCUUAGUGAGCCGCGCAGACACCAGCACGUCCGUAACCACCCAUAGGAUCUCCUAUUGCUGGAGGAAGAGCUGUAAUUUCGGCUGGCUGCGGAAAGAAGCACUGAAGACACGAGGAAAUAUUACUUGCAUGCAGGCUGAUCACGCUGAACCGUUUCCAAACAUCGAAGCGAAACACUGCAGCUCUUACAGCCGGGCUGUGCUGCCAGCCUGAGCCCUGGUGAGUGAUUCCCCCUUCACGUGGGAGAUGGAGCUCAGCCCUCACUGCGAUGGGCUCCCAGCUCUGCAGGGCUUGGUG
rnacentral:lncRNA from 1 species